GAGUUUGAUCAUGGCUCAGGAUGAACGCUAGCGGCGUGCUUAACACAUGCAAGUCGAACGAACCUUCGGGUUAGUGGCGGACGGGUGAGUAACGCGUGAGAAUCUGCCCUCAGGAGGGGGAUAACAGCUGGAAACGGCUGCUAAUACCCCAUAUGCCGCGAGGUGAAAUGAAUUUCGCCUGAGGAUGAGCUCGCGUCUGAUUAGCUAGUUGGUGUAGGUAAUGGCUCACCAAGGCUUCGAUCAGUAGCUGGUCUGAGAGGAUGAUCAGCCACACUGGGACUGAGACACGGCCCAGACUCCUACGGGAGGCAGCAGUGGGGAAUUUUCCGCAAUGGGCGAAAGCCUGACGGAGCAACGCCGCGUGAGGGAUGAAGGCCUCUGGGCUGUAAACCUCUUUUCUCAAGGAAGAAGAUCCGACGGUACUUGAGGAAUAAGCCACGGCUAAUUCCGUGCCAGCAGCCGCGGUAAUACGGGAGUGGCAAGCGUUAUCCGGAAUUAUUGGGCGUAAAGCGUCCGCAGGCGGCCCUUCAAGUCUGCUGUUAAAACGUGGAGCUUAACUCCAUCAUGGCAGUGGAAACUGUUGGGCUUGAGUGUGGUAGGGGCAGAGGGAAUUCCCGGUGUAGCGGUGAAAUGCGUAGAUAUCGGGAAGAACACCAGUGGCGAAGGCGCUCUGCUGGGCCAUAACUGACGCUCAUGGACGAAAGCCAGGGGAGCGAAAGGGAUUAGAUACCCCUGUAGUCCUGGCCGUAAACGAUGAACACUAGGUGUCGGGGGAAUCGACCCCCUCGGUGUCGUAGCCAACGCGUUAAGUGUUCCGCCUGGGGAAUACGCACGCAAGUGUGAAACUCAAAGGAAUUGACGGGGGCCCGCACAAGCGGUGGAGUAUGUGGUUUAAUUCGAUGCAACGCGAAGAACCUUACCAGGGUUUGACAUCCUGCGAACCUCUUGGAAACGAGAGGGUGCCUUCGGGAACGCAGUGACAGGUGGUGCAUGGCUGUCGUCAGCUCGUGUCGUGAGAUGUUGGGUUAAGUCCCGCAACGAGCGCAACCCACGUCUUUAGUUGCCAGCAUUUAGUUGGGCACUCUAGAGAGACCGCCGGUGAUAAACCGGAGGAAGGUGUGGAUGACGUCAAGUCAUCAUGCCCCUUACAUCCUGGGCUACACACGUACUACAAUGCUACGGACAAAGAGCAGCAAGUUCGCGAGGACAAGCAAAUCUCAUAAACCGUGGCUCAGUUCAGAUCGUAGGCUGCAACUCGCCUACGUGAAGGAGGAAUCGCUAGUAAUCGCAGGUCAGCAUACUGCGGUGAAUACGU
rnacentral:rRNA from 1 species